GACGAACGCUGGCGGCGUGCUUAACACAUGCAAGUCGAACGCUGAAGCUCAGCUUUUGUUGGGUGGAUGAGUGGCGAACGGGUGAGUAACACGUGAGUAACCUGCCUCCUUCUUUGGGAUAACGCCCGGAAACGGGUGCUAAUACUGGAUAUUCACUGGUCUUCGCAUGGGGGUUGGUGGAAAGGGUUUUUCUGGUGGGGGAUGGGCUCGCGGCCUAUCAGCUUGUUGGUGGGGUGAUGGCCUACCAAGGCUUUGACGGGUAGCCGGCCUGAGAGGGUGACCGGUCACAUUGGGACUGAGAUGCGGCCCAGACUACUACGGGGGGCAGCAGUGGGGAAUAAGGCACAAUGGGCGCAAGCCUGAUGCAGCGACGCCGCGUGAGGGAUGGAGGCCUUAGGGUUGUGAACCUCUUUCGCUCAUGGUCAAGCCGCAACAAUGGUUGUGGUGAGGGUAGUGGGUAAAGAAGCGCCGGCUAACUACGUG
rnacentral:rRNA from 1 species